rnacentral:rRNA from 1 species
UACGUAGGGUGCGAGCGUUAAUCGGAAUUACUGGGCGUAAAGCGUGCGCAGGCGGUUCGUUAAGUUAGUUGUGAAAGCCCCGGGCUCAACCUGGGAACUGCAAUGGAAACUGGCGGGCUUGAGUGUGGCAGAGGGGGGUGGAAUUCCGCGUGUAGCAGUGAAAUGCGUAGAGAUGCGGAGGAACACCGAUGGCGAAGGCAGCCCCCUGGGCCAACACUGACGCUCAGGCACGAAAGCGUGGGGAGCAAACAGG